UACGGAGGGUGCAAGCGUUAUCCGGAUUCACUGGGUUUAAAGGGUGUGUAGGCGGAUAUUUAAGUCAGUGGUGAAAUCUCCGGGCUCAACCCGGAAACUGCCAUUGAUACUAUUUAUCUUGAAUAUCGUUGAGGUUGGCGGAAUAUAUCAUGUAGCGGUGAAAUGCAUAGAUAUGAUAUAGAACACCGAUUGCGAAGGCAGCUAACUAAGCGAUUAUUGACGCUGAGGCACGAAAGCCGUGGGGAUCAAACAGG
rnacentral:rRNA from 1 species